AGCGAACGCUGGCGGCAGGCUUAACACAUGCAAGUCGAACGGGCACUUCGGUGCUAGUGGCAGACGGGUGAGUAACACGUGGGAACGUACCUUUCGGUUCGGAAUAAUCCAGGGAAACUUGGACUAAUACCGGAUACGCCCUUCGGGGGAAAGAUUCAUCGCCGAUAGAUCGGCCCGCGUCUGAUUAGCUAGUUGGUGAGGUAAUGGCUCACCAAGACGACGAUCAGUAGCUGGUCUGAGAGGAUGAUCAGCCACAUUGGGACUGAGACACGGCCCAAACUCCUACGGGAGGCAGCAGUGGGGAAUAUUGGACAAUGGGCGCAAGCCUGAUCCAGCCAUGCCGCGUGAGUGAUGAAGGCCUUAGGGUUGUAAAGCUCUUUUGUCCGGGAAGAUAAUGACUGUACCGGAAGAAUAAGCCCCGGCUAACUUCGUG
rnacentral:rRNA from 1 species